rnacentral:piRNA from 1 species
UACUUCCUCAAAGGUCUCAGCUCAGA